rnacentral:rRNA from 1 species
AACGAACGCUGGCGGCGUGCCUAAUACAUGCAAGUCGAGCGCAGGAAAUCGACGGAACCCUUCGGGGGGAAGUCGACGGAAUGAGCGGCGGACGGGUGAGUAACACGUAAAGAACCUGCCCUCAGGUCUGGGAUAACCACGAGAAAUCGGGGCUAAUACCGGAUGGGUCAUCGGACCGCAUGGUCCGAGGAUGAAAGGCGCUUCAGCGUCGCCUGGGGAUGGCUUUGCGGUGCAUUAGCUAGUUGGUGGGGUAAUGGCCCACCAAGGCGACGAUGCAUAGCCGACCUGAGAGGGUGAUCGGCCACACUGGGACUGAGACACGGCCCAGACUCCUACGGGAGGCAGCAGUAGGGAAUCUUCCACAAUGGACGAAAGUCUGAUGGAGCAACGCCGCGUGAACGAUGAAGGCCUUCGGGUCGUAAAGUUCUGUUGUAAGGGAAGAACAAGUGCCGCAGGCAAUGGCGGCACCUUGACGGUACCUUGCGAGAAAGCCACGGCUAACUACGUGCCAGCAGCCGCAGUAA